rnacentral:rRNA from 1 species
CCUACGGGGUGCUGCAGUGGGGAAUAUUGGACAAUGGGCGAAAGCCUGAUCCAGCCAUGCCGCGUGUGUGAAGAAGGCCUUCGGGUUGUAAAGCACUUUCAGUGGGGAAGAAAGCCUUGGGGCUAAUACCCUCGAGGAAGGACAUCACCCACAGAAGAAGCACCGGCUAACUCCGUGCCAACAGCCGCGGUAAUACGGAGGGUGCGAGCGUUAAUCGGAAUUACUGGGCGUAAAGCGCGCGUAGGCGGUCUGAUAAGCCGGUUGUGAAAGCCCCGGGCUCAACCUGGGAACGGCAUCCGGAACUGUCAGGCUAGAGUGCAGGAGAGGAAGGUAGAAUUCCCGGUGUAGCGGUGAAAUGCGUAGAGAUCGGGAGGAAUACCAGUGGCGAAGGCGGCCUUCUGGACUGACACUGACGCUGAGGUGCGAAAGCGUGGGUAGCAAACAGGAUUAGAUACCCUAGUAGUC